rnacentral:tRNA from 1 species
GCCGAAUUAGUUCAGUGGUAGAACACUACUUUCGUAAAGUAGAGAUGUGGGUUCGAUUCCCGCCUUCGGCUCCA